CAAAACACAUGAUCCAGUUUAAAUCCAACCAAUUAGAACAUUUCAUUCUGCCAACGUGUCUGGUUUAAACUCGGACCACCUGAGGAAAACUCCAGUCUUCUUCCCCGGUGAGCUCUCAGCGAAGUUUCAUCGUUUGGUAAAUUCCAGACACGAGGCCACCACCAUUGUGAUCCUCUUCUCAUCCUGAAUUCAACCUCAUACUCCAAAUUCAUUUAUGUGAAUUGAGCAGCGGGAAUUUCAAAGAAGUUUC
rnacentral:lncRNA from 1 species